UACGUAGGGGGCAAGCGUUGUCCGGAAUUAUUGGGCGUAAAGAGCUCGUAGGCGGUUUGUCGCGUCUGCCGUGAAAGUCCGGGGCUCAACUCCGGAUCUGCGGUGGGUACGGGCAGACUAGAGUGAUGUAGGGGAGACUGGAAUUCCUGGUGUAGCGGUGAAAUGCGCAGAUAUCAGGAGGAACACCGAUGGCGAAGGCAGGUCUCUGGGCAUUAACUGACGCUGAGGAGCGAAAGCAUGGGGAGCAAACAGG
rnacentral:rRNA from 1 species